rnacentral:rRNA from 1 species
AUGGUAUGGUAUGGAUUACAGGCCAAUCCUACUCUAUUAGUAUCCGUAGGCAGCAUAGGGGAGAAAAGCACUACACCUAGAAAUAGGAAUCAACAAGAGAAAAACUUUGUUAGAAAUUACCCCUUUCCUGAUCGAAAAGCACUACACCUAGAAAUAGGAAUCAACAAGAGAAAAACUUUGUUAGAAAUUACCCCUUUCCUGAUCGGUAUCAGGGCUGGGAAGAAUGGUUGGGAUAACAAACAACCAUCAGGUUUGUACUUUGGAUACCCCUAUAACCAUCAAAGAUCGUUGAAGUAG